rnacentral:lncRNA from 1 species
CACCACAACAAAAAUGAUUUUUAGUGGUGACUUUUUGGUGGCGACAGGCAUUGAAUGUGAAUAAUAUGGUGGCGACAUUUAUUUGUCGCCGCCAAUGCAUAGAAAUGGCGGCGACAUAUAAGAGUCGCCAUCGAUAUGGAAAUGCAUGAAGUGAGUGCAGUGUGUGAGAGGAAGUGUUGUGAGGUGUAGUGAAGUAAUGAAGUGAGUGUGUGAGGCUUGUAGUAUUUUGGGUGUAUGUAUUAGUGAGUGUGUGAGUUAAAAUAAUUUAUAUGUAAGAGUUAUUUUAUCUGUAAUAAAAAGAGUUUUAUUAUUAGUUUGGUACGUCAAUAUUCUACAAUUUGGCAUCAAAGCCAGAUUGUAGGAAAUAUUCUGCUAGUUAAGCCGGUGAUAUUUUGCCAGUCCAGCCAGUUAAAUACUGAUAUAAGCAGAUAUUCUGCUAGUGCACAGUCUGGGACUGUGAAGUUGGUUGGUUUGGGACCAGACUUACUUGGUUGACUGCUGGGCAAUCACCAAGUCACUAUGGCAGAUCUUGCUGGUACAACUAGCGGAAUU